rnacentral:lncRNA from 1 species
AUGUCUGAAUACACUAGGGUAAGUGAAGUUGAGAAUAAGGAGCUCGUUGAAAUAUCAUCAGAAGACAAUGGGGUGGUGCUGCUGUCCACAGUUACAGCCCAGUUUCCAGGGGCAUGUGGACUUCACUACAAGAAUCCAGUGUCUCAGUGUAUGAGAGGUAUCCAGCUGGUAGAAGGAAUUCUGCAUGCCCUGAUGCUGACUGUGGAAAUCUGGUAUAUGUUGUCAACUGUCCCAAAGAUAACAAAAGAAAAAUGGGUGAGACGGCAGUGAAAGUGAAGAGCAGUCCAGAAAAUAUCUUAUUUAAUAGCGUUGGUAAUUAGUGAGUUUUUGCUCUCAGUUUGUUUUUCCUCCUAUGGAAACAGGAUCUGAAAGAAUAUUUUAGUACCUCUGGAGAAGUCCAAGUCAAGAUAGAUAUUAAAACUGGUCAAAAGGGUUUGGCUUUGUUCAUUUUAUGGAGUAUGAAAGACACGUGAAAGUAAUGUCACAGUGACAUAUGAUAGAUGGAUGAUGGUAUGACUGUAAAUUUCCCAACUCUAAGCAAAGCCCAGAUGAGCCUUUGAGAAGCAGAGAAGUGUUUGUGGGGCGCUGUACAGAGGACAUGACUGCAGAUGAGCUAUGGCAGUUUUUCUGUCAGUACAAAGAAGUGGUGGAUGUCUUCAUCCCCAAGCCAUUCAGGGCCUUUGCCUUUGUUACAUUUGCAGUUGAUCAGAUUGCCCAAUCUCUUUGUGGAGAGGACUUGAUCAUUAAAGGACUCAGCAUGCAUAUAUCCAGUGCCAAACCUAAUCACACGACAGCAAUAGAUAGAAAGAAGUGGAAGAUUUGGGAAUCUGAGUGGAUUUGGUAACAGUAGAGGGGUGGAUCUGGCUUGGAAAACAAUCGAGGUACCAAUACAGGUGGUAGAUGAAUUUUGGUGUGCUCAGCAUUAAUCCAGCCAUGAUGGCUGCAGCCCAGGCAGCGCUGCAGAGCAGUUGGGGUAGGAUGAGCAUGUUAGCCAGCCAGCAGAACCAGUCAGGCCCAUCAGGUAAUAACCAAAGUCAAGGCAACAUGCAAAGGGAGCCAAACCAGGUCUUUGGUUCUAGAAAUAACUCUUACAGUGGUUCUAAUUCUGGUGCAGCAAUUGGUUGGGAAUCAGCAUCAGGCAAUGGUUUUAAUGGAGGCUCUGGCUCAAGCAUGGAUUCUCAAUCUUCUGGCUGGGAAAUGUAG